AUAAUUUUACCAUAUGUUGUGUUCAUGCUUCAUAGCAUUUUUGUUUCAAUCAUGUUGGAAUCAUGAGUCCCAAAUACAUAUUCAUAUCACACUCAUGUUCAUUGGACUAUUGGUAUUAAUUACCAAUCAUAUUUCAAUUCAUUUUUGGAGUACAUCACAAUUUCCAGAAUUUCAAUCUUGACUUUACUCUUAUUUUAGGCCAAGCUACAGCAGUAAUUUGAUUACACUUUCUACAUGAAAGUUGUUCCUUGUUGCCUUAACUUUAAUUUUCUUUUUGAAUCAGUCAAUUUGGAGUUAUCUAGCUUUAGUUAUAGUCAAUUUACUGAGUAUUGGUCCAGUAACCAAUAUUAUUCUAGAACAGGGUAAAUUCUGGAACUCAAGUUUGUCAAGCUAUUUGGACAAAUUAUAGGCAUAAUUUGGCUUGGUGUUCUUCAUAUAAGUUG
rnacentral:misc_RNA from 1 species